GAUGAACGCUGGCGGCGUGCCUAAUACAUGCAAGUCGAGCGAACAGAUGAGGAGCUUGCUCCUCUGACGUUAGCGGCGGACGGGUGAGUAACACGUGGAUAACCUACCUAUAAGACUGGGAUAACUUCGGGAAACCGGAGCUAAUACCGGAUAAUAUAUUGAACCGCAUGGUUCAAUAGUGAAAGACGGUUUUGCUGUCACUUAUAGACGGAUCCGCGCCGCAUUAGCUAGUUGGUAAGGUAACGGCUUACCAAGGCAACGAUGCGUAGCCGACCUGAGAGGGUGAUCGGCCACACUGGAACUGAGACACGGUCCAGACUCCUACGGGAGGCAGCAGUAGGGAAUCGUCCGCAAUGGGCGAAAGCCUGACGGAGCAACGCCGCGUGAGUGAUGAAGGUCUGCGGAUCGUAAAACUCUGUUAUUAGGGAAGAACAAAUGUGUAAGUAACUAUGCACGUCUUGACGGUACCUAAUCAGAAAGCCACGGCUAACUACGUG
rnacentral:rRNA from 1 species